rnacentral:rRNA from 1 species
ACGGUAACAGGAAGAAGCUUGCUUCUUUGCUGACGAGUGGCGGACGGGUGAGUAAUGUCUGGGAAACUGCCUGAUGGAGGGGGAUAACUACUGGAAACGGUAGCUAAUACCGCAUAACGUCGCAAGACCAAAGAGGGGGACCUUCGGGCCUCUUGCCAUCGGAUGUGCCCAGAUGGGAUUAGCUAGUAGGUGGGGUAACGGCUCACCUAGGCGACGAUCCCUAGCUGGUCUGAGAGGAUGACCAGCCACACUGGAACUGAGACACGGUCCAGACUCCUACGGGAGGCAGCAGUGGGGAAUAUUGCACAAUGGGCGCAAGCCUGAUGCAGCCAUGCCGCGUGUAUGAAGAAGGCCUUCGGGUUGUAAAGUACUUUCAGCGGGGAGGAAGGGAGUAAAGUUAAUACCUUUGCUCAUUGACGUUACCCGCAGAAGAAGCACCGGCUAACUCCGUGCCAGCAGCCGCGGUAAUACGGAGGGUGCAAGCGUUAAUCGGAAUUACUGGGCGUAAAGCGCACGCAGGCGGUU